rnacentral:lncRNA from 10 species
GCCUAACCUUCUGGGAAUGUAGCCCAGUAGAUCUCAGCCUUGUUUUACCCAGCCCCUAUUCAAGAUGGAGUCACUCUGGUUCAAACACCUCUGACAAAAAUCCUUCUAAAAAUUUUUAAUAUACAAAUUGAGAUCUUCUAAUAUUUUUCUAUUACUGUGGUAUAUCACUUCUUUCCCUUUGUGCACCCUACUUAAAAUUUCAACUCACUCAGAAGAUACAGGAGCUGACUGUCGCUGUGGCUGUGCUGUAUCGGAACACUGCCUACCUUAAGGAAAGAACUUUGGAGGUCUCAGGCUUUGAAUUUUAUUUCCUGUAGUUUUUUCUCUCUGAAAUCUUAUAUAGGCUUUUCCUGAGUAAGGGUCAUUUUCACUUAGCUUUUUGAUGGUAUAAUGGACUGAAUGUUUGUGUCCCCCUUCCAAGUUCAAAUGUUGAAGGCCAAACCCUCCUUGUGGCUGUACUUGGAGAUGGGGGCCUCUUAGGAAGCAAUUAAGGUUGGAUGAGGUCCUUAGGGUGGGGCCCUGAUAGGAUUAGCGUCUGUAUAAAAAGAGACACCUGAGAGCUUCGCCCUGCUAGGAUUAGCGUCUGUAUAAAGAGAGACACCUGAGAGCUUCGCCCUGCUAGGAUUAGCGUCUGUAUAAAGAGAGACACCUGAGAGCUUCGCCCUGCUAGGAUUAGCGUCUGUAUAAAGAGAGACACCUGAGAGCUUCGCCCUGCUAGGAUUAGCGUCUGUAUAAAGAGAGACACCUGAGAGCUUCGCCUACACGCUUCCCCACUGAGGGAAGACCAUGUGACUAUACAACAGGAAGGUAGUUGUUUACAAGCCAGGAAGAGAGCCCUCACCAGAAACCAAAUUGGCUGGCGCCUUGAUCAUGGACUCCUGGGCUCCGGAACUGUAAGAAAAUUUGUGUUGUGGAAGCCACCCAGCCCAUGGUAUUUCGUUAUGGCAGCCUGAGCAGAGGUGGUAGCUAUGUGGACAGUUUUUGGACUUCUCUAUUGUAACACAGGAGGCAACACAGAUUCUUCAAGUCUCACAGCUACUCCCUAGGGAUCACUGGGGAACUUGGAAAAAAUCUAUUGGCUCAGCUAGUGAGCGAUCACUUCCUGUACCACUGUUCUGAGGGCGGACUUCCAGCUCAGGAUCAUGCGAGGGCAUUUUGUUGCCCUUCAUCACUCAGCAGUGAAGAAUGAAAAUCAACAGAGCUUUCCCCAGCCUGCUGCUUAAGCAGCUGCUAGCAGGCUGAGGCUGCCCAGCCUCAUUAACCCAUUAGAUGCUGCGUUCGCCCGGGAGUCAUUCUUAAUGAGGCUGCUGCAGAGACGGCGUUUCACCAUGUUGCCCAGACUGGUCUCGAACUCCUGGCUUCAAGUGAUCCUCCUGCCUCAACCUCCCAAAGUGCUGGUAUUACAGAUGAGAAAACAGAAGCAAAGGCAGAAAGAUGCUACAUUGCCAGCUUUGAAGAUGGAGGGAAGAGGUCACAAACCAAGGAAGGUGAGUGGUGCCUAGAAGUUGGAAAAGACAUGGAAACACAUUCUUCUGUAAAGCACUUAGAAAGAAAUACAGUCUUCCAAAAUGUUGAUCUUAGCCAGGCAAUGAGGACGUUGCACAAGACAGUCCCUGAUACCCAGAGUUUACUGCCUAAGAGAGGAUACAUCCUUCAAACCAAUAAUCUGCUAAUAGCAAGAUCCAAUAGCUUCAUGGAUAUUGAAAGAAACUGAGAAUCAAAUUUGCAUACUUCUGAGUCACUUGGAAACAAAAAACAAGUACAGUCUUAGAUUCUGAGGGAACAAAAAUUAAAAAUCACAUUAGGAAGAGAAUUCCUAAUGUAGGAACUCAUCCUGGAAGAUUCUUCAGCAAAAGUACAGACAAUAAUAAUAAUACUCCAUGAAGUUACCAUCGAUAUUGAAUGAAUUAAUGAAUGUAAAAACCUCAAAACCCUGCCUGGCCCAGAGCUUUGGAAUGGGUUUGGAUCUACCACUCAACUGCUUUAUGACUUCAGACCAGUUAUUUAAAUUCCCUGAAGCUCAGUUUCCACAUCUUUGAGUUUUUAUUAAUGACCUGCCGACAUCAUACAGUUCAUGAAAUGCUCUGGAUGUGUACAUGCUGAUGAUACGACCUCAGACCCAGCAAGAGCUCAGUGCAGCCCGGAGAGCUGUGAGCAGUGCCACAGGAGGAGAUGACUGGUGAGUGAAAUAAGCAAGAUAGGAGUUGAAGUGUACAUGAAGCAGAGUCCAAGCCUUCUCCUUCUGGAUGUUCAGCUGGAUCAUCCUGACUGCUCCCACUUUCAUCUUGGCUUUCAAAGGCAAGAGGAAAUUAUAAGGAAUAUUCUGAGUGGCUUUCAUCCAGGAGUUCUGUGGGACCCGCAACACCUGGAUGGUAGAUGCAAACAGAUAAAGAAUAUUGGUCACCAAAAGGAGUUCUUUUCAUCAUAGAUCUCUGAAGGUAGACACCUAUUUGCAGACUUCUCAAAGGGCUAUAUGGAUGUGCUCUACUUGUUGGAGGAUUGUCCAUCCACUCUUCUUCCUGUACUUACCAGGACAGAACAGCCGCAACUUCUCAGACAGUUCAUUCUUCUUUUCCUCACCUACUACCAUCUAAGAAAGGGUGGGCAGCACCAGCUCAUUAGAACCAUUUGUGUGACUGACUGAAGACAGCUCACCUUGGAACACUGCAGAAUAUGGCGUAAGUGACAUUUUACAAGUUCCAGAGCCUGGGACUCAAGAUGUCUUGGAGAUUCUGUCUUUGCAGUCUUAUAAUGAUGCCCUGAGAUCAUCAUUAAAGAAAGCCAGUCUGGCCUACUGAGGAUGAGAAGCUACAUAAAGGAGAAUGAAGAUUCCCCAGCCAACAGGCAAUAUCAGUGGUCAGAUAUGUGAAUAAAGCCAUGUUGAACCUCUCGGCUAGACGACCCUCCAGCAUAUGAAACCAGCAGAUGAAUAUCCCAGCCUGCCUGAAGAACUGUACAGGAAAUAAGAAAUCAUUGUUUUUUAAGCCACUGGGUUGGUGGGUGGUUUGUUACAUUGAAAUUGUUAACUAAAACAGAAAUUGGUGCAUAGAGGUCAGGUGCUGUCAUAAUAAAAAUCUAAAACAUAUACUGUUGGCUUUGGUGAUGGGAGUGAUUGGUAGCUAAAGAGGCAGUGAAACAAUGAUUAGUAGAUACUGGGAAGUUAAUAAGGAAAUUUCUAUUGGAGGGUGGAGAAAGGGCCACCCUUGUUAUAUAGUGGCCAAAGAAUCAGCAAAAUGUUGCCUGCUGCAACCUGGAAAGUAGAAACUUUUCUUAAACUCACGGAUCUGGCUGGGAGAUUUCCAGGAUGCAUGCAACAAAUGUGAAUCAACUUUGUAUAGCUGUGUAUAAUAAAGUGUGCUGUAUUUGUCCAUUCUGAUGCUGCUAAUAAAGACAUACCUGAGACUGAAU